rnacentral:rRNA from 1 species
GAUGAACGCUGACAGAAUGCUUAACACAUGCAAGUCUUUGGCGAAGCUGUGCUUGCACCGCCUAGCCAAGGCGGACGGGUGAGUAACGCGUAAGGAACUUGCCCUGCAGUCAGGGAUAACAGACGGAAACGACUGAUAAGACCUGGUAAAGUCAGGCGGACUCAUGUCCAGCCUGAUGAAAAGAGAUGCUGCAGGAGAGCCUUGCGUCCUAUUAGCUUGUUGGUGGGGUAACGGCCCACCAAGGCGAUGAUAGGUAGCCGGCCUGAGAGGGUGGACGGCCACAAGGGGACUGAGAUACGGCCCUUACUCCUACGGGAGGCAGCAGUGGGGAAUAUUGGACAAUGGGGGCAACCCUGAUCCAGCAAUUCUGUGUGCACGAUGAAGGUUUUCGGAUUGUAAAGUGCUUUCAGCAGGGAAGAAAAAAAUGACGGUACCUGCAGAAGAAGCGACGGCUAAAUACGUG